AUGGAAGGGACCAUAAAUCCCAUCCAUUCCCAUCUCUCGGGGUCCCAGGCUGCACCCAGGGAUGGAAGGGGCUCCCUCAGACCCUUCCCACUGGGAAUAAACCCCACAGGCCUGGGCAGCAGGAAUGCAAAUCCCCUUUUUGCCCUUCCCUGGAUGUUCUGGCAGCUCUUGGUGCGUCCCUGGCCCUUCCCUGGGGACAGGAGGAGUUUCCUGACAUUUCCCCCCAGUCCAAGCCCUGCCUCGGGGAGGGAAAAAGGAGCAAAUCCCAAACCCCAGGGAACAGGAUCUUCCCUCUCCCAAAGGGCCUCGGGGAAGAAAAAGCAGCAGAGGAUGGGAAUUCCUGGAAUCCCACCCUGGAUCCUUAAUAAACCUCCUGAGGGUUCAUUCCCGGCUGGAUCCAGGCAGGAACAGCCCAAAGGUUUUUUUGGGAGGGGUCAGGAACGCAGAGAGCUGCUCUGGGAAUCCCUCCCGGGGAUCCCAUGGGAUGGGAGAGGAGCUGCCCCGAAUUUGGGGAAUUCUCCUUUCCUGGGAGCCAGGACAGGGCUGGGGCAAAUCCCAGGGGGAGGGAGGGAGGAAAUCCCAGGGGGAAGGAAAGGAGGAAAUCCCAGGGGAAAGGAAGGGAGGAAAUCCCAGGGAAAGGGAGGGAGGAAAUCCCAGGGAAAGGGAGGGAGGAAAUCCCAGGGGGAAGGAAAGGAGGAAAUCCCAGGGGGAAAGGAAGGGAGGAAAUCCCAGGGGAAGGGAGGAAGGAAAUCCCAGGGGAAGGGAGGAAGGAAAUCCCAGAGGGGAGGAAAGGAGGAAAUCCCAGGGGGAAAGGGAGGAAAUCCCAGGGGGAAAGGAAAGGAGGAAAUCCCAGGGGAAGGGAGGAAAUCCCAGGGAAAGGAAAGGAGGAAAUCCCAGGGGGAAAGGAAGGGAGGAAAUCCCAGGGGGAAAGGAAGGGAGGAAAUCCCAGGGGGAAAGGAGGAAAUGCCAGGGGGAAGGAAAGGAGGAAAUCCCAGGGGGAAAGGAGGAAGGAAAUCCCAGGGGAAGGAAAGGAGGAAAUCCCAGAGGGAAAGGAGGAAAUCCCAGGGGGAAAGGAAGGGAGGAAAUCCCAGGGGGAAAGGAAGGGAGGAAAUCCCAGGGGAAAGGGAGGGAGGAAAUCCCAGGGGGAAAGGAGGAAAUCCCAGGGGAAAGGGAGGGAGGAAAUCCCAGGGGAAAGGAGGAAGGAAAUCCCAGGGGAAAGGGAGGGAGGAAAUCCCAGGGGGAAAGGAAAGGAGGAAAUCCCAGGGGGAAAGGGAGGGAGGAAAUCCCAGGGGGAAAGGAGGAAGGAAAUCCCAGGGGGAAAGGAAAGGAGGAAAUCCCAGGGGGAAAGGGAGGGAGGAAAUCCCAGGGGGAAAGGGAGGGAGGAAAUCCCAGGGGAAAGGAGGAAGGAAAUCCCAGGGGGAAAGGGAGGAAGGAAAUCCCAGGGGAAAGGAGGAAGGAAAUCCCAGGGGCUGCUCCCACCCUCUGGAAAAGGCCACAGGCACAGGGGGUGUCUCCAACCAGGAUUUAAUCCCGGGAUCUUUCCUCUCCUCCCUGCAGAGCAGAGCUGGGUCCCCCCCCAGCAGCCAAAUCCCCACAGAAAGUCCUGGAGAAGCGGGAAUUGUCCUGUUUUCUUUAAUAAAGAUAGGAAGGAUUUGUGUUUUCCUGUUAAGGCAAGGAUCUGCUGCUGCUGCUCGGCUCCAGGGGCAGCUCUGA
rnacentral:lncRNA from 1 species